AUGCCCCGACGGAAAGCGCCAAGGCAUUCCGCGGGACACUCCUUCCUCUGCGUUGACGAAUCCCCCAGAAAAGUUUCGCGAACCUCCUACAUUGUCCCCCUCCGCUUUUGUGGGGGUUUUGGGUUUUCUUUCUUUUUUUCCUUUUUUUUUCCUUUUUUUUUUUUUUUUUUUUUGGAAUGCAGAGAGUCUGAGCGUUUUCGCCCGGGCAGAGGUUGCCUGUAUUCAAGGUAUAUGAGGAAUCAUUGCAAACAAUGGUUCUUCAGAAACUUUAGAACUUACCCAGGGCGAAGGGACUGGAGAGGGAAGCACAAGCGCCGGCGGAGCUGCGUGGCAAGAACGGCUGCGCCCGGGGGGGAGGGAGCGGCGGGGAACCCGGGAGAUGGUCGAAUCCCUCUCCCCAAAGCUGGAGGCGAGGGACUGCCUCGAGGGCCCCCGUCACUCCUCGGGAUCAGGGCUGCGGAAGGGGCCGCCGAGGCCCGGGCGCCCGCGUCUGCGCGCUGGCAGCUGGCGACCGCGUUCCAAGCGCUGGCGCCGGCGCUCGGGCUCGGGCUCGGGUACCCGGGGGCGCUCAGCUGCGCCCCUGCUCCUGCCGCCGCCGCCGCCGCCCCUGCUGCGGCUUCGAGCCGGGGGCCGCGCGCCCGCAGCAUCCAGGGCUCCUCAGCAUCUCCCCCCUUCUUUCCUUUUCUCUUGUCUUCUCUUUUCUUUCUUUUCUUUUCUUUUCUCUCUCUUUUUCACCUCUGCCGACUCAUUAUUUGUACAUCCAAGCGGAGUGCAGGUCCGUCCCCCUUUCUCCUCGGCCUGGCGGGGGUCGGGCAGGAGCAGCGCGCGGUCCCCGAGCGCCCCCCCGUCACCAUGCCCGGGGGGUGGCGGCGCGGCGGCCGCGGUCGGCAGCGCCCUCCCGUGCGCCUCGCCCCUGCCCCCGUUAUCCCGGCUCUUAUUGUCCCGUGUCAGUUUCACUUUGUAAUCCACAAGGCUCUCUGCUCGGGGCGGGGAGCGGGGAGCGGGGUGCGGGGGGCGCUCGGCGGGUCCCUCCGUGUCCUUCACCCGCGGCGGCGGCGGCGGCGGCGGCGGGGAGGUCGGCGCUGGGUCGCGGCGGCGCCCGCGGCAGCUCGGGGCGGGCGCCCGGGCCGGGAUGGAGCAGCCGGAGCUCGGCGCGCAGCUCUGCGCCUCCCGGGCUGGUCCCCGGCGCUCCCCGCCUCUUCCCCGCUGCGCGCACGCACACGCGCACGCACACACACACUCACACACACACGCGCGCACACGCAGCGACCGUCGCUGCAACACCCCCGGGGGCGGGGGGUGGCGAGCUGGAGCAGGGCUCCGAAACUUUGCCCGCCGCGCGGCGAUCCCGCGCCCGACUCGGCGCGCACGCCCCGGGGCUCCGGGGCUGUCACCUCCCGCCCCUCCCUCGCCCCCGCCCCCGCCCCCUUGGGCCGCCGCCCGGGGCCGCCCCGCCCGGCGCUCCCACCGCUAGCGCUCCCCGGCGUGGGGGGGCCCCGCCUGGCUUCCCCGGGUGCGAGCCUCUCCCGCCUCUGCGAGGACCCCGGGCGGUCGGGGGUGGGAGCCCCGCGAGUCGGGGCGCUGGGAAGGGGGAUGCUUUUUUUUUUUUUUUUUUUCCUUUUUGUUUUGUUUUUCCUUCUCCCCCCCCCCCCCGCACCCACCCCCUUUCUUUUUGGUCAAAUCUUGGCCGGCGUCAGAGAAAUAACAGCAAAAAAGCUGCCGCAGGAUAGAUGGGGGUGGGGUCGGGCUUGCAGAUAA
rnacentral:lncRNA from 12 species